GUAAUAACUUUAGUGUUUUUAUUACUAUAUUGAUUGUUUCAGUGUUUUUAUUUUUAUAUACUUAUUUUAUUUUUUCUCUUUCCUGGUAGAAAUUGCCUUGCCGGUGUCACGACAUUUGUUAGCACCAUGCAAGUUUGCCACACUACAGCCUUAUCCAAAAGAAUUGGAAAGAUACAUAUCAGGGCCAUCCUUGCGCCUGAUAUAUAAAUGGCGUGGCAUUCAUUAUAAAGUUAAACGGGCGCAAGUCUGGAUUUGACCAGACUUCUAAUGCGGCCCAUAUUUGCGCCACGUCAAAUGCUGAAGAGAUUUUUAUUUAUUUUCACAUUUAAUGUAUAUCUUUUGUCAUACAUAUAUCUCUUGUUUUUUGGAUCCUUUCCUUUGCCUAGAUUUUUUGCAUGCAUCAUUAGCUCAUUCGGGGUAAAAUUGCACGCAUUAAUUGGGAUAAAAACACUAAACGAUUGAAAGUUCCAUUUCUUCCACCUUCAUAUACAAAAGAAGGGAUAAAUAAUCUCCAUGAUUUGGUUAAAAACGAAAUGGAAGCACCAGAGUCAUGGCCACUGUUCAGUGUUGACAUUGUUGGUCAAGCAAAAACAUAUUCAGAAGCUGUUGAUCGCUUAAUGCUUCUUGGUCAAAAGGAGACUGCUUUUUCACAGGAUUCGGAAGAUGACGAACUAAAAAUUAAGAAAGCACAAGCAAUUUAUCAACAAAAAAGAUUUUAAAAAAGUGCGGAAGAAAUUAAAGAAAUUUUUAGUAGAACUCCUAUGUUUACAAAAAAAUCUUGUAAUCAGUCAGACUAACGUAAACCUGUCAAGUCAUCCAAGUCAUCGGUGAAGGAAAAUUUAACAAAAAAGAGUUUUACGACACAUGUACUAAUACCAAAGAUGAAGUACAAAUAUUUUCGUAGUAAUACUAUUGUAAGCGAGUUAAGUAAGGCCAUAUUUUUUUUAUUUCAUCGAUGGAUUAAGCGCAUGAUGCGCAAAUGCUACACGUGCAGAUUUGCACAUAAUGCGCUUGAUCCAUCGAUGAAUUAAAAAACAUGGCCUAAAGCUCACGAACUACGAGUCAUUUUACUGUACAAUUAUAGUUUAGUUAA